rnacentral:rRNA from 1 species
UACGGGGGGGGCAAGCGUUGUUCGGAAUUACUGGGCGGAAAGGGCGCGUAGGCGGUGCUCUAAGUCGGAUGUGAAAACUCUGGGCUCAACCCAGAGCCUGCAUCCGAAACUGGAGUGCUAGAGUUCUGGAGGGGGUAGCGGAAUUCCUGGUGUAGCGGUGAAAUGCGUAGAUAUCAGGAGGAACACCGGUGGCGAAGGCGGCUACCUGGACAGAAACUGACGCUGAGGCGCGAAAGCUAGGGGAGCAAACAGG